UUCAUCAGGAAUAAAGGCAGAGAGCCUGAAGGGUGGAGAAAUAAACUAGAGGAGUUGCUCUUGCCAAAUAAGGAGGAACAGGACAGUUCUGAACAUGUUAAGUUUUACCAGGAGGCCUGCAACACAGCUUCUAUAUGUGGAUUAGGUCAGACGCCAAUUUACAAACACGGUUCUGCUGAUGGGACAAGAGCCUGACCAGUGCAUUCUGACGUUCAGCUAUCCAAAAGGCUUAAGGUUCAAAAGACCCCCCAAAAAUAUAGGAACGUUAUUCAAGUUUGAGGGAGGAAAGGUACAAUGUUGGAAAUCAAAUGUUUUGCAGCAACUGUGAGGGAGACAUAGGUACUUAACUUGUGUUCUCAGGUUAUGAGGAUAAUGUCUGCAAGUUAAAAUUUACCAAGUAUUAAAUUUCUCUGGGCCUCAAACUGCUGGGUCCAAGGCACUUUCCUGUCUGAUUGACUCUUGUCCUGAAUUGAAAUUAUUAUCAAGGAAACAAAGAAUUCCCACAUGAUUGCUCACGAUGUGUACGUGCAAUGGAGCAUCCCCAGGAUUAGCCUUUAUGUCUCUGGUCCUUCUGAAGAAUAAGGGCAGGAGAGAAAUGUCUCAUUUAAAUGGCACUGGAUCCUGGACAAACAUACACUAACUUCAUUGAUAUAUUCAUGACAGAGAAACUGAAGUCAAGAAAAUUUCUGGCAACAAAACCCUUCCUGUUGACCCGCCCACCUUGGGCAUCCUCUUGGAGAUGUUUGAAACACCCAAAGUUAUUAUCUGUCCACGUCUCAUUGACUGACUAAUCGAUUUAAGGCAGGUUUGUAGUUGUAUGCCAGAACUUUUGCAUCCAUCCGAGUUACAGAGCUCAAUUUCUGACAGAAGUUCUGUGAUUGAAUACAGAAUGUUUUAACUCCUGAAAUAUUAUGUUAGUCAGAAGUAGCUCAAAUUCUGUGGAGCAACAUCCAAUCUCAUGUGGGCGUCUUCUUAAUUUGACUGUUCAGGAUUUUUAAUUUGAAAUUUGAAUACAGUUAGCAUAUGCCCAAAUCGACGACUUUGAAAUUCAGACAGUUAUUUCAGCAAAAGCAACAACCAAUCUGUAGAAAAGGAAGAUUCCACCAAAUUGAUAAGAUGAAUAGCCAUUAAUCUUUGAGAGUAAUAGUGUUUAAGUGACAAUUUAUACCCAAGGACCUGUGGAGUGGCGAUCACCCUACUUCUCUUUACUUCAUUCCAAGGAAUCCACAAGGACAAACCUUGGUUUAAUGUUUCACCAAUAUGAUGAUGCAUCAAACAAUGUCGCACUCCCUUCGUACUUGGGCUGUAAUAGCAACUUGCAUGAAAGGGAGUAUCCUAAUGCAGAACCUGAACAACCUUCUGACUCCGUCAAAUAUGCGAACAACUAAUUAAGCAAAUAUUUCUUUGCCAUUGUUAAGGCUUUUCUCUGUGCUUUGGGAUGCUUUUCUAUAUUUCAUUCAUCAUGUAAAUGCAAGUUAUUGUUGUUAUGUUCUUAUGCCUAAUUAUUGUGCACAUUAAAUCUAUGACACUCGGUUUUGCUCUUCUGAACUGAUUGCUAAUAGUC